rnacentral:misc_RNA from 1 species
GAUGAAGAACGUAGCGAAAUGCGAUAAGUAAUGUGAAUUGCAGAAUUCAGUGAAUCAUCGAAUCUUUGAACGCACCUUGCGCUCCUUGGUAUUCUGAGGAGCAUGCCUGUUUGAGUAUCAUAAAAUUGUCAACUGUGUCACCUUUAUAGUGAUUUACAGAUUGGAUAUGGGAGUUUUUGCAGGCCUAGUUUGUCAGCUCUCCUGAAACACAUUAGCAGUGCCUUGUUGGUCCUUGGGUGUGAUAAUUUAUCUAUGCCUUGACGUGUACCUUCAUGAAGGUUGUGCUGCUUCCAAUGGUCUUUGGACACAUUUAUUAAAGAUUUGAUCUCAAAUCAGGCAGGACUACCCGCUGAACUUAAGCAUAUCAAUAAGCGGAGGA